rnacentral:rRNA from 1 species
CGGAGGGAGCAAGCGUUGUUCGGAUUUACUGGGCGUAAAGGGCGCGUAGGCGGCCACCGCAAGUCGACUGUGAAAUCUCCGGGCUUAACCCGGAAAGGUCAGCCGAUACUGCGGGGCUAGAGUGCAGAAGGGGCAACUGGAAUUCUCGGUGUAGCGGUGAAAUGCGUAGAUAUCGAGAGGAACACCUGCGGCGAAGGCGGGUUGCUGGGCUGACACUGACGCUGAGGCGCGAAAGCUAGGGGAGCGAACGGGAUUAGAUACCCCGGUAGUCCUAGCCUUAAACGAUGAAUGCUUGGUGUCUGGGGUUUUAUAGUCCCCGGGUGCCGUCGCUAACGCUUUAAGCAUUCCGCCUGGGGAGUACGGUCGCAAGACUG